UACGUAGGAGGCGAGCGUUGUCCGGAGUUACUGGGCGUAAAGGGUGCGCAGGUGGCCGCGCGCGUGGGGAGUGAAAUCGCCCGGCUUAACUGGGCGGGGGCUUUCCAGACGGCGGGGCUUGAGCCACAGAGGGGGGCGUGGAAUUCCGGGUGGAGCGGUGAAAUGCGUAGAGAUCCGGAGGAACACCGACGGCGUAGGCAGCGCCCUGGCUGUGUAAAGGCGAAAGCCGCAAGGCAAUCGCCGCUGACACUGAGGCACGAAAGCUGGGGGAGCGAACAGG
rnacentral:rRNA from 1 species